rnacentral:rRNA from 1 species
GUGCCUACGGGACGCAGCAGUGAGGAAUAUUGGUCAAUGGCCGCAGGGCUGAACCAGCCAAGUCGCGUGAGGGAUGACGGUCCUAUGGAUUGUAAACCUCUUUUGUCAGGGAGCAAAGGGCGCCACGUGUGGCGUUUUGCGAGUACCUGAAGAAAAAGCAUCGGCUAACUCCGUGCCAGCAGCCGCGGUAAUACGGAGGAUGCGAGCGUUAUCCGGAUUUACUGGGUGUAAAGGGCGUGUAGGCGGGAGUGCAAGUCAGAUGUGAAAACUAUGGGCUCAACCCAUAGCCUGCAUUUGAAACUGUA